rnacentral:rRNA from 1 species
CCUACGGGCGGCUGCAGUGAGGAAUAUUGGUCAAUGGACGAGAGUCUGAACCAGCCAAGUAGCGUGAAGGAUGACUGCCCUAUGGGUUGUAAACUUCUUUUAUAUGGGAAUAAAAUGUUCCACGUGUGGGAUUUUGUAUGUACCAUAUGAAUAAGGAUCGGCUAACUCCGUGCCAGCAGCCGCGGUAAUACGGAGGAUCCGAGCGUUAUCCGGAUUUAUUGGGUUUAAAGGGAGCGUAGGUGGAUGGUUAAGUCAGUUGUGAAGGUUUGCGGCUCAACCGUUAAAUUGCAGUUGAAACUGGCAGGCUUGAGUACAGUAGAGGUGGGCGGAAUUCGUGGUGUAGCGGUGAAAUGCUUAGAUAUCACGAAGAACUCCGAUUGCGAAGGCAGCUCACUGGACUGCAACUGACACUGAGGCUCGAAAGUGUGGGUAUCAAACAGGAUUAGAUACCCCUGUAGUC